UGUGGACAUAGCCUGCCAGGCUCCUCUGUCCAUGGGACACUCCAGGAAGAAUACUGGAGUGCGCUCCUGUGCCCUCGUGAUUCCACCUAGCUUCCUCCAAAGUAUACUGCUGUCCCAGACACACCCAAACAUACAGAGUAGGAUGUCUAGGCUGUGCAUCAGGUCCAUUUAAUUUCACUUAUUCUGAAUAGAUCUUCCUCUUCCAUUAUAAUGCCUUCUUUUCUCAUCCUUUCUCUCUCUUUCAUUAUUAUGAUCUUUCCCUUUCAGUGACACUUAUGGAGUCAUGAGUUACUCUCACUAAGCUAAAAAGAAAAAUUGAUUUUCAUUAGUAUGUCCUCUCAGUGUCAGGGAGUUAUCAUGUGAUCCUUAAACAUAGUUACCUUUUCCUCACAUUGGAUGUAUGUCUUAUUACACUGCUAUCAUAAAGGAUAAAGCCCAUAUUUAUCUUGCUCCACACUGCAUAGCCAGCAUGUAGCAAGAGUUCUUGGUUUAUGGUAAGUGCUCAAUAAACAUUUGUUGAAUAAAGUAAUUAAUUAAUUAAUCUUUUCCACAGACAUGCACACAGGCGGCCAGACAAAAAAAAUCGCAAACAUAAAAGUAUAAAGACAAAUACACAGACACACACACAUAUGUAUGUAUAAUGUUUUAACUGCCCCAUUUCUCUCUCUCAUAUUAUCUCUCAUCCUGAAACCUUGUCAACAUAAUUCAUCUCUUCUAGGAUAUUAAUUUACCUACACUCAGUGAGGGAUGAUAGCAUAACCCAAUGGAAUAUAUACCUUUCAACUAGAGUAGUUCGGGUAUAAAAUGCUUGAUUGUCAUUCUUAAGGUAGGCAUGUUUCUUCGUAUUAACUUUUAGACAUUUUUAUUUUUAUUUAGAUCAAAGUCAGAAAGUAGUGCCCAAACAAAUCGCAGCAGUAACUAAUAAUUCCUUCAGAAGGCAAUGGAUAUCACUGGGGGUCUCACUGAGAAAUGAAAAUUCAACCUUUUCUCCCCUGGUCACAGCUGAUGGAAAACAAUAAACCAAGAUGGACCAAUUUG